GGUCAAGCUACAAAGGGCAAACGGUGGAUGCCUUGGCGUCGGGAGGCGAUGAAGGACGUGGCUAGCUGCGAUAAGCCUCGGGGAGCCGCUCAACAGGCUUUGAUCCGGGGAUUUCCGAAUGGGGCAACCCGCUCCGAUUAAUAUCGGGGCAUCUGUGGCUGAAUACAUAGGCCAUAGAGGCGAACGAGGGGAACUGAAACAUCUUAGUACCCUCAGGAAAAGAAAGCAAUAGCGAUUCCCUUAGUAGUGGCGAGCGAAACGGGAACAGCCUAAACCGUAGUUGCUUCGGCAAGUACGGGGUUGCGGGACCACAAUGUGGGAUGCGGAUAGUUAGUUGAACAGGCUGGAAAGCCUGGCCAUAGAGAGUGAUAGCCUCGUAAGCAAAAACUUGAAGCACCCUAGUGGUAUCCCAAGUACCACGGGACACGGGAAAUCCUGUGGGAAUCCGGGAGGACCAUCUUCCAAGGCUAAAUACUACCUGACGACCGAUAGUGCACUAGUACCGUGAGGGAAAGGCGAAAAGAACCCCGGGAGGGGAGUGAAAUAGAACCUGAAACCGUUUGCUUACAAGCAGUGGGAGUCCGCCUUUGGCGGAUGACUGCGUGCCUUUUGUAUAAUGAGUCAGCGAGUUACUCUGUGUGGCAAGGUUAAGCCGUGAGGCGGAGCCGUAGCGAAAGCGAGUCUGAAAUGGGCGUAUUAGUCGCAUGGAGUAGACCCGAAGCCGAGUGAUCUAUCCAUGGGCAGGGUGAAGUCUCGGUAACACGAGAUGGAGGCCCGAACCAGUGUAGGUUGAAAACUGCUUGGAUGACCUGUGGAUAGGAGUGAAAGGCUAAUCAAACUCGGUGAUAGCUGGUUCUCCCCGAAAUAUAUUUAGGUAUAGCCUUGCAAGUUAAGUAACGGAGGUAGAGCACUGGAUGGGCUAGGGGUCUUACCGGACUACCAAACCUAACCAAACUCCGAAUGCCGUUAACUUUAAUUGCAGGAGUCAGACUACGGGUGAUAAGAUUCGUGGUCGAGAGGGAAACAACCCAGAUCGCCAGCUAAGGUCCCCAAAUAUGUGCUAAGUGGGAAAGGAUGUGGGAAUGCACAGACAACCAGGAGGUUGGCUUAGAAGCAGCCAUCCUUUAAAGAAAGCGUAAUAGCUCACUGGUCGAGUGAUCCUGCGCCGAAAAUUUAACGGGGCUCAAGCACAUUACCGAAGCUGCGGGAAUCGUUGGUCUGCGGACCGGCGGUUCGGUAGGGGAGCAUUCUGUUAACCUGUGAAGGUGCGCCGUGAGGCGUGCUGGAGGAGCCAGAAGAGAGUAUGCUGACACGAGUAGCGAAAAUGUGGGUGAGAAACCCACACGCCGUAAGCCUAAGGUUUCCUGGGUAAAGUUAAUCUGCUCAGGGUUAGUCGAUCCCUAAGCCGAGGCCGAAAGGCGUAGGUGAUGGAAAACAGGUUAAUAUUCCUGUACCAUCAAACUGGCGUUUGAGUGAAGGGGGGACGCAGAAGGGUAGGCCAUCCGGGUGUUGGACGUCCCGGUUUAAGCCUGUAGGUGGGGAUUCCAGGCAAAUCCGGAAUCCUGUUAACACUGAGGGGUGAUGACGAUCCGCCUUUGGCGGAACAAAGUGGCUAAUCCCAUGCUGCCAAGAAAAGCCUCGUAGCGAGUCAGUUUGGUGAUCGUACCGCAAACCGACACAGGUAGGCGGGGAGAGUAUCCCAAGGCGCUUGAGAGAACCCUGGUUAAGGAACUCGGCAAAAUGACACCGUAACUUCGGGAGAAGGUGUGCCCCCAUUAGGUGAAAAAAUUCACUUUUGGAGCCGAAGGGGGUCGCAGAGAAGUGGCGGGAGCGACUGUUUACUAAAAACACAGGACUCUGCGAAGUCGUAAGACGACGUAUAGGGUCUGACGCCUGCCCGGUGCUGGAAGGUUAAGGGGAUACGUUAUUUACUUUCGGGUAGAGAAGCGUUGAACCGAAGCCCCAGUAAACGGCGGCCGUAACUAUAACGGUCCUAAGGUAGCGAAAUUCCUUGUGGGGUAAGUUCCCACGCGCACGAAUGGUGUAACAACCUGAUCGCUGUCUCAACGUGAGACUCGGCGAAAUUGUAGUGGCGGUGAAGAUGCCGUCUACCCGCAUCAAGACGAAAAGACCCCAGAACCUUUACUGCAACCUGCUAUUGGGUUUUGGAUCAAUAUGUGUAGCAUAGGUGGGAGACUUUGAGGCCCAGGCGCUAGCUUGGGCAGAGUCGCAAUCUGAAAUACCACCCUUAUUGCUCUAAGAUUCUAACCCCUUGCCGUGAAACCGGCGGAGGGACAGUGACAGGCGGGCAGUUUGACUGGGGCGGUUCCCUUCUAAAAAGUAACGAAGGGGCCCCAAGGUUGGCUCAGGGCGGUCGGUAAUCGCCCGUGGAGCGUAAGCGCAUAAGCCAGCUUAACUGCGAGUCCGACAGGACGAGCAGAUACGAAAGUAGGGGCUAGUGAUCCGGUGGUUGAACGUGGAAUUGCCAUCGCUCAACGGAUAAUAGGUACUCUGGGGAUAACAGGCUUAUUGGACUCGAGAGUUCACAUCGACAGUCCAGUUUGGCACCUCGAUGUCGGCUCAUCCUAUCCUGGGGCUGUAUAAGGUCCCAAGGGUCCGGCUGUUCGCCGGUUAAAAGGGUACGCGAGCUGGGUUCAGAACGUCGUGAGACAGUAAACAAUGACCGUUGCUGUCUUUAAAUCUGGCUAAUUGCUGGAAACUCUGAGCAUGCCAUAUUACUACUUGACGAUUUAGUCUCUAUAUGUUACUAUAUCUCAAGGAGUGAAAAUAUAUGGACGCAGACAAUCAGCAGGAAAGGCCAAGAGAGAUAACAUCAUAUAUUUCAGGUUUUGUCGACGGAGAAGGUUGCUUUUCGAUAACAAUUCAAAAAAGCAACAAUGUGAAAUUAGGAAUUCAAAUAAUACCGGAAUUCCAUGUUUCACAGCACCAAAACAGAGCUGAAGUUUUAGAAGUGAUUAAGAGAGAGUUAGGCUGCGGAUAUAUUAAACCUAAUGAUUAUCGAAAUCCAAAGGAUCAAACUUCAGUUUAUGUUGUGCGAAAUAUAAAUGAUCUCCGUAAUAAAGUCAUACCUUUCUUUAAGAAAUCUCCGCUCAUCUCAAUUAAACAAAAAGAUUUUGAGAAAUUUGCUCGAGUCGUUAGUUUAAUGAGAGAUGGUGGGCAUUUAAGAAAGAAAAGUUUAAUUACGAUAUUAGAAAUUGCUUAUUCAAUGAAUUUCAGUGGUAAAUAUCGUAAACAAAAACUGGAAGAUAUAAUUUCUCACUUGGAAUCUUCAGAGACUAUACGCCAGAAGUCCUAUUUGAAAGAAUAAGGAUUAAGAUAUAGUCCGAACUGUGUAGCGAUAUACAGAGGUUAACAGAAAUGCUAACCCCUCUGUUCAAUUGAGCAGAGAGUAACAGUAUUGUCGGUCUCUAUCUGAUGUGGGCGUUAGGAUAUUUGAAGGGGAGUUCUCUUCAGUACGAGAGGACCUAGAGAAACAAACCUAUGGUUUUCCGGUUGUCCUGCCAAGGGCAAAGGCCGGGUAGCUAUGUUUGGAAGUGAUAAGCGCUGAAAGCAUCUAAGUGCCAAGCACCCCCCAAGACUAAGUAUCCCUGAGUCGCAAGACUCUGUAGGCUAGUGGUAGACUACCACUUUAAUAGGCGUAAAGUGUAAGAUCCGUAAGGAUUUCAGCUAAUACGUACUAAUCAGCCAAUAGGCUUGUCCUU
rnacentral:rRNA from 1 species